rnacentral:rRNA from 1 species
CCUACGGGAGGCAGCAGUGGGGAAUAUUGGACAAUGGGCGAAAGCCUGAUCCAGCCAUGCCGCGUGUGUGAAGAAGGCCUUCGGGUUGUAAAGCACUUUCAGUGGGGAAGAAAGCCUUGGGGCUAAUACCCUCGAGGAAGGACAUCACCCACAGAAGAAGCACCGGCUAACUCCGUGCCAGCAGCCGCGGUAAUACGGAGGGUGCGAGCGUUAAUCGGAAUUACUGGGCGGAAAGCGCGCGUAGGCGGUCUGAUAAGCCGGUUGUGAAAGCCCUGGGCUCAACCUGGGAACGGCAUCCGGAACUGUCAGGCUAGAGUGCAGGAGAGGAAGGUAGAAUUCCCGGUGUAGCGGUGAAAUGCGUAGAGAUCGGGAGGAAUACCAGUGGCGAAGGCGGCCUUCUGGACUGACACUGACGCUGAGGUGCGAAAGCGUGGGUAGCAAACAGGAUUAGAUACCCUUGUAGUC